UAUCUUUGCACCCGAAUUACAUAAUAAUCAUUAAACAAUAUUGGAAUG
rfam:Chryseobacterium molle strain DSM 18016 genome assembly, contig: Ga0131196_103